rnacentral:rRNA from 1 species
CCUGGUGAUUGGAGCGGCGUGGCCCCACCUCUGCCCAUUCCGAACAGAGAAGUGAAACGCGCCAGCGCCGAUGAUAGUGAUCCGGAAGCGGUUCGCGAAAGUAGGUCAUUGCCAGGG